AACGAACGCUGGCGGCGGGCCUAACACAUGCAAGUCGAGCGCCCCGCAAGGGGAGCGGCGGACGGGUGAGUAACGCGUGGGAACGUGCCCCUUUCUACGGAAUAGCCUCGGGAAACUGGGAGUAAUACCGUAUAAGCCCUACGGGGGAAAGAUUUAUCGGGAAGGGAUCGGCCCGCGUUGGAUUAGGUAGUUGGUGGGGUAAUGGCCUACCAAGCCGACGAUCCAUAGCUGGUUUGAGAGGAUGAUCAGCCACACUGGGACUGAGACACGGCCCAGACUCCUACGGGAGGCAGCAGUGGGGAAUCUUAGACAAUGGGCGCAAGCCUGAUCUAGCCAUGCCGCGUGAGCGAUGAAGGCCUUAGGGUUGUAAAGCUCUUUCAGGGGGGAAGAUAAUGACUGUACCCCCAGAAGAAGCCCCGGCUAACUCUGUGCCAGCCGCCGCGGUAAUAC
rnacentral:rRNA from 1 species